AUUGAACGCUGGCGGCAUGCCUUACACAUGCAAGUCGAACGGCAGCACGGGGGCAACCCUGGUGGCGAGUGGCGAACGGGUGAGUAAUACAUCGGAACGUGUCCUAUCGUGGGGGAUAACUAGUCGAAAGACUAGCUAAUACCGCAUGAGAUCGAGAGAUGAAAGCAGGGGACCGCAAGGCCUUGCGCGAUUGGAGCGGCCGAUGUCGGAUUAGCUAGUUGGCGGGGUAAAAGCCCACCAAGGCGACGAUCCGUAGCUGGUUUGAGAGAACGACCAGCCACACUGGGACUGAGACACGGCCCAGACUCCUACGGGAGGCAGCAGUGGGGAAUUUUGGACAAUGGGGGAAACCCUGAUCCAGCCAUGCCGCGUGUGUGAAGAAGGCCUCGGUUGUAAG
rnacentral:rRNA from 1 species